UUGUUUCACCUGUGGAUUUUGGGCAGGAAGAGCUCCAGCUGCGUCUCUUUUAAAAGAUCCAUCACCACCACGGGCUGAUCCCUUGGUGUCCCCCUGUCAAUUAGAAAGUUUGCAGUUAAUGUUUACAUUUGACAUUGGAGACACUAUCCAAGUAAACUACAAGAAAGUAUAUUAGUGGUGAACAAAAGAGCAUAAUUACCUCCAACUGUGCAUCAUGUUCAUUCCGAAUAUAGCAGUCCCGGGAUAAAGGCAAAAACGAAAGAAAUAGUCAGAUCAAAUUAAUAAAGACUAUGAAAAUGUCAGGAAUCGAACAUCAAGUUUUGGAGUUCUAAAUCAUGUCAAUUGAGACUUAAGCCUAGUUUAAUAUUGUUGUUAAAAAUACUUGUUUUAAGAAAGUUUGGGCUUACAAAUGUGGUUUAGAAAUUUUAAAGGGUUUGACAUUGUAUUGAAAAAGUGCAGUGAAAAAUCUAAGAGUAGAAAAAAUGUUUAAAAUAAUCAAAAGUUGAAAAUGUGAGGAUAAUAAACUUAUUUUGUCCAAAAGUCAGCUUCCAGACCACAAAAACUCCAUUUUCUUGGCUUUUUUAUUUGGGUUAUCAAAUUAUGAUUUGAACCACAGAAGCCAAAUACUUUUACUCAUUUAGCAUUGUGUUUGCGGUGAAAUGCAGUAUUUAAGGUAAACUGGGCCUAAUGAUUCGCAAGACAAUGAUGAUAAACAUAAAAUUUUAACUCCUAAUUAUGAUAAAUUGACAAAUUGGAUCAAUUGAAAAGUACGUCAAAAGUUAGAGCUACAAGCUAAGAAAAUCAAGCAGAAAGUGAAGUAAAUAAACAAAUAGGUCAAAAGUCAAGGCCCGCUUACCUCCCUGUAUCUGGCAAGAUAUAUUUUAAGUGGCUCGAUAUAGUCUUCGAAUCCUAAUGUUGCCAUUGCCCACAACAAGUCAUCUCCAUUAAUUGUCUUCCUUUUCUCUUUUUGACAUUUAUCACUUGCCCUACAAAACAAACAGCCAG
rnacentral:lncRNA from 1 species